rnacentral:rRNA from 1 species
UAUCCGAUAGCAUAUCAAGAUCGCAUGAUCUUGAUAUUAAAGAAUUCGGUUAUCGAUGGGGAUGCGUUCCAUUAGUUAGUUGGCGGGGUAACGGCCCACCAAGACGACGAUGGAUAGGGGUUCUGAGAGGAAGGUCCCCCACAUUGGAACUGAGACACGGUCCAAACUCCUACGGGAGGCAGCAGUGAGGAAUAUUGGUCAAUGGACGAGAGUCUGAACCAGCCAAGUAGCGUGAAGGAUGACUGCCCUAUGGGUUGUAAACUUCUUUUAUAUGGGAAUAAAACAGGGUAUGCAUACCCUCUUGUAUGUACCAUAUGAAUAAGGAUCGGCUAACUCCGUGCCAGCAGCCGCGGUAAUACGGAGGAUCCGGGCGUUAUCCGGAUUUAUUGGGUUUAAAGGGAGCGUAGGUGGAUUGUUAAGUCAGUUGUGAAAGUUUGCGGCUCAACCGUAAAAUUGCAGUUGAAACUGGCAGUCUUGAGUACAGUAGAGGUGGGCGGAAUUCGUGGUGUAGCGGUGAAAUGCUUAGAUAUCACGAAGAACUCCGAUUGCGAAGGCAGCUCACUGGACUGCAACUGACACUGAUGCUCGAAAGUGUGG